UACGAAGGGUGCAAGCGUUACUCGGAAUUACUGGGCGUAAAGCGUGCGUAGGUGGUGAGUUAAGUCUGUCGUGAAAGCCCCGGGCUCAACCUGGGAAUGGCGAUGGAUACUGGCUCGCUAGAGUGCGGUAGAGGGUGGUGGAAUUCCCGGUGUAGCAGUGAAAUGCGUAGAGAUCGGGAGGAACAUCAGUUGCGAAGGCGGCCACCUGGACCAGCACUGACACUGGAGGCGCGAAAGCGUGGGGAGCAAACAGG
rnacentral:rRNA from 1 species